AGAGUUUGAUCAUGGCUCAGGAUAAACGCUGGCGGCAUGCCUAAUACAUGCAAGUCGAACGGAGAAGAAGGUGCUUGCACCUUCGGAUCAGUGGCGAACGGGUGAGUAACACGUAGUUAACCUACCCAUUGGACUGGGACAACUUCUGGAAACGGAAGCUAAUACCGGAUAGGAAGAAAUUUUAAAGAAGCGUUUGCUUC
rnacentral:rRNA from 1 species